ACAAUAGUCAUGAGACCUGCACAGUCACAGAGGCCACCAAGGUGAUUGAACCACAGCCUGUCUCUGUUUACUCUAGGAGGGCAAGGAUGGGAGAUUUUUUCCAGACAUUCAUGUCCUCUUCCCCUUUGUCCCUCCCAUUGCUCCUGGGUAUCUGUUGAAGGAAAGCACAGAAUCCAAUAUAGAAACUGAUGAGACUUUUGAACCUUUUCACUCCCUGGGAAUGAUAAACAUUCUUGAAGUCAGGAGACAAAACCAUGAGAAGGUGGUGGUCCGAAGGAGCUCAUAGCAACAUCAAGAAAAUGAAUGGAGUUUUUAAGGGGGAGUGUAGAAGGUAGUUAAGAAGUUUAAGAAGGAGCUGCCAGCAGGAGAGCCUCCCACCCAUGCCUGUGCCCCAGGCGACAUGGACAUUUCUUAGAGUGACAAGGAUGCUCAUAGUAAUUGCGCCAAGACAACAGUUCUGUGGUUGUGAAACCUGGAGCAGCUGCAUCCAUCUUGUGACCAUGAGGAGAGCUAGUGGAGGAAAAGCAAGUGGCUGAGGAUGGC